rnacentral:rRNA from 1 species
GAUGAACGCUAGCUACAGGCCUAAUACAUGCAAGUCGAGGGACCAGCGCACGGGUGAGUAACACGUAUCCAACCUGCCCUUUACUAGGGGCUAGCCUUACGAAAGAAAGAUUAAUACCCGUAAUAAAGGAUGGGGAUGCGUUUCAUUAGGGUGUUGGGAAGGUAACGGCCCACCACGACUUCGAUGGAUAGGGGUUCUGAGAGGAAGGUCCCCCACAUUGGAGCUGGGACCCGGUCCAAACUCCUACGGGAGGCAGGAGUGAGUAAUAUAGGGCAAUGGGCGUUAGCCUGAACCAGCCAAGUAGCGUGAAGGAUGAAGGGAUAUGGGUCGUAAACUUCUUUUAAAUAAGAAUAGGUAUUAUAUGAAUAAGGAUCGGCUAACUCCGUGCCAGCAGCCGCGGUAAUUC